GACGAACGCUGGCGGCGUGCUUAACACAUGCAAGUCGAACGGAAAGGCCCUGCUUUUGUGGGGUGCUCGAGUGGCGAACGGGUGAGUAACACGUGAGUAACCUGCCCUUGACUUUGGGAUAACUUCAGGAAACUGGGGCUAAUACCGGAUAGGAGCUCCUGCUGCAUGGUGGGGGUUGGAAAGUUUCGGCGGAUGGGGAUGGACGCUCGGGUUAUCAGCUUGUUGGUGGGGUAGUGGCUUACCAAGGCUUCGACGGGUAGCCGGCAUGAGAGCGGGACCGGCCACAUUGGGACUGAGAUACGGCCCAGACUCGUACGGGAGGCAGCAGGGGGGAAUAUUGCACAGUGGGCGGAAGCCUGAUGCAGCAACGCCGCGUGCGGGAUGACGGCCUUCGGGUUGUAAACCGCUGUCGCCUGUGACGAAGCGUGAGUGACGGUAAUGGGUAAAGAAGCACCGGCUAACUACGUG
rnacentral:rRNA from 1 species